rnacentral:ncRNA from 1 species
AACCAAUCGAAUUUAACUGAUCUAAAGGGAUCUAUAUCACUUUCUUCUUAGGAGUGAUGAAUGAUUAAUAGCGUAAAUAUAUUUACGUGUGUAUAUGUAUGUGAAUAUUUGUGUGCGUAUAUGUGCGGAUUGGUGCAGAAGCCACGAUGCAGGCGUCGUUGGAAGUCACCGUUUGCGUUGCGGCAGCGCAUCCACCUCCCGGUCAUUUUGGCCUGCAAGGUUCCUCCGAGGGUGAUCUUCGCCAAGUGUCCAAGGUGGCCGCUACGUUCGCUGUGAAAAAAUUAGUGCUCAGAGCAAGCCCUGCUGGCUUGCAUAUGAAAAGCAUGGAAUGACGGGAAAUGGUCUCGUCCAUGCAUCAUCCAUCAAUCUCCAUUCAUAACGAGGCAAUGAUCGAAGGUAGCGAUCGGGGCCACUCAUAUUGCGAUGUUAGAGGUGAAAUUCUUGAAUCGUCGCAAGACAUACUGCAGUGGCGGCGUGUGGCAAGCAUGUUUUCCUCGAUCAAGAGCAAAUAUCGGAGAUUCAAAGAUGAUUGGAUACCGUCGUAGUUCCAACCGUACACGAUGCUGACUGGCACUUCAUCAGCAUUCGCUUCAAUGAUCUGGUAGGGAGCCUGCAGGGGAAACUAUAGUCGGUACCAGGGGGAGUAUGGUUGCAAAACAGAAACUUAAAAGGAAUUGACGGGAAAACUCACCCAGUCUGGACAUUGGUAGGAUUAACAGAUGAAAGCUCUUUCUCGAUUCAGUGGUUAGCGAUGCAUGGCUGUCCUUAGUUGGUGGAGUGAUCCAUCUGGAUGAUUCCGAUAACGAAUGAGACUCCAGUCUGCUAACUAGUGCAUUGAUUACUGCUUUUCGGUAGCACAGCAGUGCUGAAUCUGUCGUCGGUAUCUCUGCACACUGCCCGGACUUGCCAUUGCUGCUGCUCUCCUUUGCAUCCAGUGCUGCAGAAGCGUCCAGCUGCUUCCUGCUCGUGGGGCACUCACGACUUGGUUGUAGCAUCGGUUGUGGAGUGAUAGCGGUGGUGACCUGGUCAGCUCAGCCAACGCAAGCCUGGUAGUGACACACCGCUGCAGUUGGGCCAGUCGGCUGGUAAACACAGCUUUUCUUAGACAGGGAUCAGGGCCUGGAACCAACCCCGUGAACGAGGAAUUGCCGGUAGGCGCAGGUCAUCAGCCGGUGUCAAUCACGUCCCUGCCCUUUGUACACACCAUGCGUUGCUACUACCAAUCGAAUGGUCUGGUGUGGUCCUUGGAUCUGGCUGACAAUUCUGCUUAUGUGUGGUGGCAUUCUGCGCCGUCAUCGGUGCACUCUCUGAUGGCCCAGAGAAGACGACUGAACCCAAUCACUUAGAGAAAGUAAAAGUCAUAACAAGGUUUUUGUAGGUGAACCUGCAUCUCACUC